rnacentral:lncRNA from 1 species
CUGGGCCAGGGGCAGGGCAAAUGGCUGGAUGGCCAAAUUGCAUCUGAAGGAGUAGCUGUCACAUGAAGAAUCCUACACAGGGGCCGAUGGAGUUGAAGAGGAGAGAUGCUUUUACCUUAGCUGAUUGCCCAGAGAGAUAAAGAAAGGAAAGCUGAAAAUCUUGGUGACAUCAUCAUGAGCACUCCCUCAUACUGGCACAGUAAACACCAAACCCUGCCCUCCUACCGACCUCACUUGGAGGCCUCUGACUUGUAUCUUACACUUGCCGCAUAGUGACCACAGGAACGUGGAAUGCUGACAGUGCUGAGAAGUGGUGGUUUCCUCACCUAGAUAUCAAACUUUAAAAAUCAGAGCAGUCAAUUUUAACAAUACAGUUGCAAUUAUAAUUACAUUUUAAAAUACAAUUUCAGAUUGUUCUUAAAUCCCAACAAUUUUUUCUAUGAUGGUGACAGUUUUGGCCUUAGCGUGGCCAGGUACUGAUUUUUAGCUAACAUUGGACCAUUCAACAUUUCCCAAAAUGUGUAGUUGGUUGGCCUCUAGUUUAGUAUUGCUCUAAUAAUCUGAUAAUAUUCUAGCAUCUAUAAUGGGAAGUGUUUUCUCUGUGUUUGGUUACUAAGGAGUGAAU